rnacentral:snRNA from 1 species
AUUGCUUUGGCAGGAUAUAUAUACAAAAACUGGAAUGAUACAGAGAUUAGCAUGGCCCCUGUGCAAAGGUGUCAUGAAAAUUCGUGAAGCACUCCAUAAAAGU